rnacentral:rRNA from 1 species
UACGUAGGGGGCGAGCGUUGUCCGGAAUCAUUGGGCGUAAAGCGCGUGUAGGCGGGCUAGUAAGUCGGACGUGAAAUCCCUGAGCUCAACUCAGGAACUGCAUCCGAAACUAUUAGCCUUGAGUGGUGGAGAGGGAAGCAGAAUUCCUGGUGUAGAGGUGAAAUUCGUAGAUAUCAGGAGGAACACCGGUGGCGAAGGCGGCUUCCUGGACACUAACUGACGCUGAGACGCGAAAGCGUGGGGAGCAAACAGG